rnacentral:rRNA from 1 species
AGCGAACGCUGGCGGCAGGCCUAACACAUGCAAGUCGAACGAAGUCUUCGGACUUAGUGGCGGACGGGUGAGUAACACGUGGGAACGUGCCUUUAGGUUCGGAAUAACUCAGGGAAACUUGUGCUAAUACCGAAUGUGCCCUUCGGGGGAAAGAUUUAUCGCCUUUAGAGCGGCCCGCGUCUGAUUAGCUAGUUGGUGAGGGAAAGGCUCACCAAGGCUACGAUCAGUAGCUGGUCUGAGAGGAUGAUCAGCCACAUUGGGACUGAGACACGGCCCAAACUCCUACGGGAGGCAGCAGUGGGGAAUCUUGCGCAAUGGGCGAAAGCCUGACGCAGCCAUGCCGCGUGGAUGAUGAAGGUCUUAGGAUUGUAAAAUCCUUUCACCGGUGAAGAUAAUGACUGUAGCCGGAGAAGAAGCCCCGGCUAACUUCGUGCCAGCAGCCGCCGUAAUAC